rnacentral:rRNA from 1 species
AUUAAACGCUGGCGGCAUGCCUUACACAUGCAAGUCGAACGGCAGCACGGGGGCAACCCUGGUGGCGAGUGGCGGACGGGUGAGUAAAGCAUCGGAACGUAUCCUGGAGUGGGGGAUAACGUAGCGAAAGUUACGCUAAUACCGCAUAUUCUGUGAGCAGGAAAGCAGGGGAUCGCAAGACCUUGCGCUCUGGGAGCGGCCGAUGUCGGAUUAGCUAGUUGGUGGGGUAAAGGCCUACCAAGGCGACGAUCCGUAGCGGGUCUGAGAGGAUGAUCCGCCACACUGGGACUGAGACACGGCCCAGACUCCUACGGGAGGCAGCAGUGGGGAAUUUUGGACAAUGGGCGAAGCCUGAUCCAGCCAUGCCGCGUGAGUGAAGAAGGCC